GGGGAAUUUUCCGCAAUGGGCGAAAGCCUGACGGAGCAAUACCGCGUGAGGGAAGACUGCCUAUGGGUUGUAAACCUCUUUUUUCAGGGAGGAACAAAAUGACGUGUACCUGAAGAAUAAGCAUCGGCUAACUCCGUGCCAGCAGCCGCGGUAAGACGGAGGAUGCAAGUGUUAUCCGGAAUCACUGGGCGUAAAGCGUCUGUAGGUGGUUUAAUAAGUCAACUGUUAAAUCUUGAGGCUCAACUUCAAAAUCGCAGUCGAAACUAUUACACUAGAGUAUAGUACAGGUAAAGGGAAUUUCCAGUGGAGCGGUGAAAUGCCUAGAUAUUGGAAAGAACACCGAUGGGAAGAGCACUAUACGGGACGAUUACUAAAACUCAAAGAGGAAAGAGAGGAUUUAUUUUGGGAUUAAAUACCACUGAGAUGCAGGGCUGA
rnacentral:rRNA from 1 species